ensembl:lincRNA
CUGAUAACAGAUGUGAUUUCCAGCUGUGUCUAUAUACCAACCAUAUGGGAGAGAGAAACAGUUCACAAAAAAAUUGACCUAGUAUGAAUUCCUAUUCAUAUUUUUUCAAAGCCUUCCAUAGCCUGUA